AAGUCGUAACAAGGUUUCCGUAGGUGAACCUGCGGAAGGAUCAUUAAUGAAAUGUUAGGACGCUCUUUUUAGAGGUCCGACCCACAUCAUUACCUUCAACACUGUGCACAUACUACUUUUUACACCAUUUUUAUAACACAUCAGUCUAAGAAUGUAAAACAAGUCUCGAAAGAGCAAUAAACAAAACAAAA
rnacentral:misc_RNA from 1 species